rnacentral:rRNA from 1 species
AUUGAACGCUGGCGGCAGGCUUAACACAUGCAAGUCGAGCGGGGUGAUGGUGCUUGCACUAUCACUUAGCGGCGGACGGGUGAGUAAUGCUUAGGAAUCUGCCUAUUAGUGGGGGACAACAUCUCGAAAGGGAUGCUAAUACCGCAUACGUCCUACGGGAGAAAGCAGGGGAUCACUUGUGACCUUGCGCUAAUAGAUGAGCCUAAGUCGGAUUAGCCAGUUGGUGGGGUAAAGGCCUACCAAGGCGACGAUCUGUAGCGGGUCAGAGAGGAUGAUCCGCCACACUGGGACUGAGACACGGCCCAGACUCCUACGGGAGGCAGCAGUGGGGAAUAUUGGACAAUGGGGGGAACCCUGAUCCAGCCAUGCCGCGUGUGUGAAGAAGGCCUUAUGGUUGUAAGGCACUUUAAGCGAGGAGGAGGCUCUUUUGGUUAAUACCCAAGAUGAGUGGACGUUACUCGCAGAAUAAGCACCGGCUAACUCUGUGCCAGCCGCCGCCGUAA